rnacentral:lncRNA from 1 species
AAAAACUUUACAUAUGUAUGAGAUUCUUGGAUUGUGGACAUUCAAGAAUAAUGAGGUCAGAUUCUUCCAAUACCAAGUCUCAUGCAGCUCUCACACAAAUAUCAUGAUAAUUAAAAGUUGGCCUUAGUUGUUCUUGGAGUUUGUUUUAUAGAAGCAUCAAAAAUUUUGUGACGUGUCAUAUAAUACUUGUGUUUUGAGUUAGGCUUGGAAUUCUGGUUAGGCACGUAUUUCAAAGAUAACACUAGCAAAUAAUCAAUCUCUAAAUACAUGAUUUAUACUGUUGAUCACUUUUUAUCGACAUUAACAAGUCUUGCCUCACAAAAUUAAAUAACUAAAAAAUCCGAUUUAAUCAAAAUUAUUAUUUUUCACCUACACAUCGCCAUUUCUUGAAUUUUUGCUCCUGAUGGCAAUCCUCAUGCUUGUGGCUAAUGGCUAUACAAUGCGGAUUGCACUAACAUUAAUCAUUUUACCCACUCAAUGCUUUGAUACAUUGAAUAAUGCAUGUUUCCAAAGGUAUAAUGAUGGUUCCAUGUUAAUUUUAUUGAGCUUGACGAUUUCUAUUAAUCUAAAGAAUACAUAAAUCAAUAACUCAAUCAUGUAUUGUUAGAUGUGGAUCUGGUAUACACUGCAAAUACAUAGUUGAACUAUGGCCUAGUUUUAACUAUUGAAGAAAUCACACAGCUUUAUGAAUCUUACUGAGAAGUCAUAUGACGAGCAUGCACCACAAUAUAUCUGAAAAGGCCUAUUUCCUUCCUUUCGAUCAGUAUAAUAGAAAACAACAAAAAUGCCUUAAGAAUUCAAUAGCAUCUUUAAAGAUCAAAGCAAAUAUAUCACAAAGUAUGACUUAGUUGUAUUUCACUAUUGAUCUCGAAUAAUCGUGAUACUUUUUCCUUUUGCAAAUUGUAAAAUUUGAAUUAGUGCAUUGCAAGGAUAAUUUUAAGCAUGUCUCUGACACUUAAUAUGACUCUUGGGGAAACAACUGUAGUAAAAGUUCAUGAACAACACCAGUCACUAAAAGUCGCUGACCUUAUGCAAACAAAGCAGAGAGAUACCUUUUAUCAAAAAUUGAUCAUCCUUGUGACCAUUCCGUACCCAAAACAUAGAACUGAUGUCCAUAGUACGUAAUUCCAUGUAUGCAAGGACACAUAGCUUGCAUUAGGAUGAAAAAGAAACGAGGGAACAAUCUUGUCAUAAAUGAGAAAAGAAUGAUGAGAUUUUGUUCACUUCCCAAGGUUAAAUCAUAGAUUUUAGAAUCCUUAAUGAUGAUAUUUUGUUCACUUCCCAAGGUUAAAUCAUAGAUUUUAGAAUCCCUUCUAACCAACCAUUUGUGAAAUUAAAUGGUGAGAACUAGGUUAAAUCAUGGACAGAGAAAGAGGGUGGAGCAAUUCUUAAAAAUCUCAUAUAUCUAGGAAUAGAUGCUGUUACAAUUUGAUGAUCAACAUCCCUAAACCAGAAACUAUGGGUUUCUCCUGGGGAUUUGACUUAUA